rnacentral:rRNA from 1 species
CCUACGGGAGGCAGCAGUGGGGGAUAUUGCACAAUGGGGGAAACCCUGAUGCAGCGACGCCGCGUGUGGGAAGAAGGUUCUCUGGAUUGUAAACUAUUGUCCCCAGGGACAAAGAUGACGGUACCUGGGGAGGAAGCUCCGGCUAACUACGUGCCAGCAGCCGCGGUAAUACAUAGGGAGCGAGCGUUGCCCGGACUUACUGGGUGAAAAGGGAGCGUAGGCGGGACGGCAAUUUGGUGGGAAAAUCAAGCGGCUAAACCCGGAGCCGCCUUGGAAACCGCCGUGCUAGAGUGCAGUAGAGGUAGGCGGAAUGCCUAGUGUAGCGGUGAAAUGCGUAGAUAUUAGGAGGAACACCAGUGGCGAAGGCGGCCUGCUGGGCUUUUACUGACGUUGAGGCUCGAAAGUGUGGGGAGCAAACAGGAUUAGAUACCCUAGUAGUC